rnacentral:rRNA from 1 species
CCUACGGGUGGCAGCAGUGAGGAAUAUUGGUCAAUGGUCGGGAGACUGAACCAGCCAAGCCGCGUGAGGGAGGAAGGUACAGAGUAUCGUAAACCUCUUGUGUCAGGGAACAAAGACUGGGACGCGUCCCCGGAUGAGUGUACCUGAAGAAAAAGCAUCGGCUAACUCAGUGCAAGCAGCAGCGGUAAUCGGGAGGAUGCGAAUGUUAUCCGGAUUUAUUGGGUUUAAAGGGUGCGCUGUCGGGCUGGUAGGUCACCGGUCAAAGCCCGGGGCUCAACCCCGGCCCGCCGUUGAAACUGGCAGUCUCGAGUUGGAGAGAAGUAUGCGGAAUGCGCGGUGUAGCGGUGAAAUGCAUAGAUAUCGCGCAGAACUCCGAUUGCGAAGGCAGCAUGCCGGCUCCACACUGACGCUGAGGCACGAAAGCGUGGGUAUCGAACAGGAUUAGAUACCCUUGUAGUC